UUGCACGCUGGCGGCAGGCCUAACACCUGCAAGUCGCACGGUAACAGGGAUCAGCUUGCUGAUUCGCUGACGAGUGGCGGACGGGUGAGUAAUGUCUGGGAAACUGCCUGAUGGAGGGGGAUAACUACUGGAAACGGUAGCUAAUACCGCAUAACGUCGCAAGACCAAAGAGGGGGACCUUCGGGCCUCUUGCCAUCGGAUGUGCCCAGAUGGGAUUAGCUAGUAGGUGGGGUAACGGCUCACCUAGGCGACGAUCCCUAGCUGGUCUGAGAGGAUGACCAGCCACACUGGAACUGAGACACGGUCCAGACUCCUACGGGAGGCAGCAGUGGGGAAUAUUGCACAAUGGGCGCAAGCCUGAUGCAGCCAUGCCGCGUGUAUGAAGAAGGCCUUCGGGUUGUAAAGUACUUUCAGCGGGGAGGAAGGGAGUAAAGUUAAUACCUUUGCUCAUUGACGUUACCCGCAGAAGAAGCACCGGCUAACUCCGUG
rnacentral:rRNA from 1 species